AUACGUAGGGGGCGAGCGUUGUCCGGAAUGAUUGGGCGUAAAGGGCGCGUAGGCGGCCCGGUAAGUCUGGAGUGAAAGUCCUGUUUUUAAGAUGGGAAUUGCUUUGGAUACUGUCGGGCUUGGGUGCAGGAGAGGUAAGUGGAAUUCCCAGUGUAGCGGUGAAAUGCGUAGAGAUUGGGAGGAACACCAGUGGCGAAGGCGACUUACUGGACUGUAACUGACGCUGAGGCGCGAAAGUGUGGUGAGCAAACAGGAUUAGAUACCCUGGUAGUCCACACUGUAAACGAUGAAUGCUAGGUGUAGGGGGUAUCGACCCCUUCUGUGCCGCAGUCAACACAAUAAGCAUUCCGCCUGGGGAGUACGGCCGCAAGGUUGAAACUCAAAUGAAUUGACGGGGG
rnacentral:rRNA from 1 species